UUGGGGGAUUUUGGAAAUGGGGGCAACCCUGACCCAGCCAUGCCGCGUGCGGGAAGAAGGCCUUCGGGUUGUAAACCGCUUUCGGCCGGAACGAAAUCGCCCGGGUGAACAUCCCGGGUGGAUGACGGUACCGGAAGAAGAAGCACCGGCUAACUACGUGCCAGCAGCCGCGGUAAUACGUAGGGUGCGAGCGUUAAUCGGAAUUACUGGGCGUAAAGCGUGCGCAGGCGGUCUCGUAAGACAGGUGUGAAAGCCCCGGGCUUAACCUGGGAAUUGCGCUUGUGACUGCGAGGCUGGAGUGCGGCAGAGGGAGGUGGAAUUCCACGUGUAGCAGUGAAAUGCGUAGAGAUGUGGAGGAACACCGAUGGCGAAGGCAGCCUCCUGGGCCAGCACUGACGCUCAUGCACGAAAGCGUGGGGAGCAAACAGGAUUAGAUACCCUGGUAGUCCACGCCCUAAACGAUGGCGACUAGUUGUUGGGGUAGCAGUACCUUAGUAACGCAGCUAACGCGUGAAGUCGCCCGCCUGGGGAGUA
rnacentral:rRNA from 1 species